rnacentral:misc_RNA from 1 species
CUUCACUAUAUGCCAUCCUUUGUUUUCUCCAUUGAAGGGUACUUCCACCAUUGCCAUAAAGCUGUUCCUUAUGCAAAUAACUUCUAAAAUUGAAGCCACCCUUUUCUUCUAAACUCAUUAUCUCCCCUGCCUUUCUUCUACAAACACUCUUAUUUUCUCCCUCUCUUCCUUUUCUGGUACUACAAAUUAAAACUCUCUCCUCUCCCACUUGUCUACUACUUUCACUAUGCCUUCAAGACUCACUGACGCCUUUAGAGCCCACCCUGUCCAUCUCCAUCACAAGCAUCUUGACUUUACCUCUCUCCAAGAACUACCUGACUCCUACAAAUGGACUCAACUCGACGACCAUGCUCACUACCCUUCUGGCGGUGCCGAAUCCGUUCCGGUUAUCGAUCUUUCUGACCCCAAUGCUUUUAAAAAGAUAGGCCAUGCAUGCAAAACCUGGGGUGUGUUUCAAGUCACAAACCAUGGUUUUCCAUCUACUCUUCUUGAUAACACUGAGAAAGCUAGCAAGAGUCUUUUCUGUUUACCUAUACAGCAAAAGCUGAAAGCAGCUAGAUCACCUGAUGGAGUUUCAGGCUAUGGUAUAGCAAGAAUUUCUUCAUUCUUCUCAAAGCUCAUGUGGUCUGAAGGAUUCACCGUAGUUGGAUCACCAGUAGAGCAUUUUCGCCAACUUUGGCCUCAAGAUUACACUCAAUUCUGGUAUACUUGGAUAUGCUCAUGCACGUGUAAUUAAAAGCUCAUUUGUAUCAUCUUCCAUUUCUUUCAUUUUUUUUUUACAAAAAUUAAAAAAAAUCCCAUUUUCUUUCACCAAUGCAAUUAGCGAAAGGAUAACAAUGAAAGUCAUGGGCCCACAGGGGGGGGGGAUUUGGGGUAGUGAUGAAAUCAACGAAAGAUAUCCAAUGUUUACUGUUUGUUUUGUUUUGUAUCCAUAAUAAUAGCAUCUUUACUACUAUUCAUGCAGUGUCUUGAUUUUUUUUUUCUUUUUCCUCAUAAACUUUCUUCUGAUUUUCGAUUUCUUUUUCUUGUUCUUUGCAGUGAUAUAAUUGAAGAAUACCAGAUGGAGAUGCAAAAGUUGGCUGCAAGGUUGAUGUGGUUAAUGUUGGGCUCUCUCGGCAUAACCAAAGAAGACGUCAAAUGGGCUGGCCCAAAAGGCGACUUCGAAGGGGCUUCCGGUGCCUUACAAUUCAAUUACUACCCAGCUUGCCCAGAUCCGGAUCGAGCCAUGGGUCUUGCUGCUCAUACUGACUCAAAUCUACUCACCAUCCUCCACCAGAACAGUACUAGUGGGUUGCAAGUUCUAAGAGAGGGAACCGGGUGGGUCACCGUUCCUCCGAUUCCUGGUGGGCUAGUAAUCAAUGUAGGAGACCUUCUUCACAUCUUAUCAAAUGGGUUGUACCCGAGUGUUCUCCACCGAGCAGUGGUUAACCGGACCAAACACCGGUUGUCCAUGGCUUAUCUCUACGGGCCGCCAUCAAGUGUUAAAAUUUCACCCUUAUCAAAACUAGUAAGCCCAAGUCAACCACCUCUGUACCGGCCAGUCACUUGGAAUGAGUACCUUGGCACUAAAGCUAAGCACUUCAACAAAGCACUAUCUUCUGUUAGGGUAUGUGCUCCUCUAAAUGGGUUAGUUGAUGUAAAUGACCAUAGUAAUAGGGUAAAAGUAGGGUAGGGAUUAAUAAUUAAUCUCUUGUUGUAAUUCAUCCAAUUUUGUCUUCUUGUUUUAAUUCCUUUUCCAAUAUUUUGAUUGGCUGGCCAUGCCAUGUUAUGGAGAUUCUAAUUGAUUGGAGUAUCAUAUAUUUUUGGGUUAUUAUUAAUUAUCAAAUCACACAUGGGG